AACGCGAAGAACCUUACCAGGGCUUGACAUGCAGGUAGUAGCGAGCCGAAAGGUAAGCGACCCGGCACUCAAGUGGGCAUGAUAGAGAAGGUAGUAAGAGGGAGAAGAACCUUACUUGAGUGCCGGGAGCCUGCACAGGUGGUGCAUGGUUGUCGUCAGCUCGUGUCGUGAGAUGUUGGGUUAAGUCCCGCAACGAGGGCAACCCUUGGUUCUAGUUGCCAGUCCGUCAAUCAAUGGAACAUGUUCGCAAAGAGUAGAGACCACCUGAUUGGUUGUUCACUUGAGUGAGGGGGGCACUUUAGAGGGACUGCCGGGGAAAACACGGAGGAAGGUGGGGAUGACGUCAAAUCAUCAUGCCCUUUAUGCUCUGGGCCACCCACGUGCUACAAUGGCCGGUACAG
rnacentral:rRNA from 1 species